GUAGGUGGCAAGCGUUGUCCGGAAUUAUUGGGCGUAAAGCGCGCGCAGGCGGUCCUUUAAGUCUGAUGUGAAAGCCCACGGCUCAACCGUGGAGGGUCAUUGGAAACUGGGGGACUUGAGUACAGAAGAGGAAAGCGGAAUUCCAAGUGUAGCGGUGAAAUGCGUAGAGAUUUGGAGGAACACCAGUGGCGAAGGCGGCUUACUGGUCUGUAACUGACGCUGAGGCGCGAAAGCGUGGGGAGCAAACAGGGAUUAGAUACCCUGGUAGUCCACGCCGUAAACGAUGAGUGCUAAGUGUUAGGGGGUUUCCCGCCCCUUAGUGCUGCAGCUAACGCAUUAAGCACUCCGCCUGGGGAGUACGGCCGCAAGGCUG
rnacentral:rRNA from 1 species